AACGGUCUAUACCUGCGGUACCUGCGGAAGGAUCAUUAUCGAGUUUACAACUCCCAAACCAUUGUGAAUCUUACCUUUUCGUUGCUUCGGCGGGAUCGCCCCGGGCGCUUCGGUGCCCCGGAUUCAGGCGCCCGCCGGGGGACCUAAACUCUUGUAUUAUAGUGGAUUUCUGAGUGGAUUACACAAAUAAUCAAAACUUUCAACAACGGAUCUCU
rnacentral:misc_RNA from 1 species